rnacentral:lncRNA from 1 species
AAAAAUCCAGACUAAAUUUAUAAUCCAUUUGAUUUGUUGAAAGCAUUAGUUUACAUUACUAUAUACUACAUUUGUAUUAGUUGCUCAUGUUCCAAGUGUUUAGCAUGGAGCUUGAAGAUAUAUUAUUACAAAACUAGAUAUGUUGUCUUACUCUAAAAUCAAGAUAGAGAUAUUACCAAAAAAAAAAAAAAAAAAGGAUUAUAGAUUCAGUGGAUGAGGGUUGGGUCACGUGCUAUAACUAAGACCAGAUGAGAUCAGUAGAAGGUCCACGUCCAACCCAAACUCUCUCCACCUUGACCUAACUCACUCACAGAUUUGAAAAUUUCACACGAGCCGAGUCGAGCCGGACAACUAAAACAUCUUAGGGAG